UACGAAGGGGGCUAGCGUUGCUCGGAAUCACUGGACGUAAAGGGUGCGUAGGCGGGUCUUUAAGUCAGGGGUGAAAUCCUGGAGCUCAACUCCAGAACUGCCUUUGAUACUGAGGAUCUUGAGUUCGGGAGAGGUGAGUGGUAACUGCGAGUGUAGAGGUGAAAUUCGUAGAUAUUCGCAAGAACACCAGUGGCGAAGGCGGCUCACUGGCCCGAUACUGACGCUGAGGCACGAAAGCGUGGGGAGCAAACAGG
rnacentral:rRNA from 1 species